rnacentral:lncRNA from 1 species
GGAUGGAAUGAGGCAACUCAAAGAAGAAGAGCACCAAGGUUCAAACAAGACCGGGCAAAAUUGGUCCUCUUUAGUCUUUACUUUAUUCUCGUUAUACGAUAAUGAGUAAAGACGGGCAGCUGUAAUAGGCCCAAUUUGCCCGGCCCAUUACAAAAAAAAAUAAAUUAAAUUAAAAAGUCUAAAAGUCCAAAAAUACAGAAACAUUAGCCCCAUAAAAUCUAACCCAAAAUACCGUCCUAAACUCGGUUAUAACCCAAACCUAAUUCAGCCUAAAAUACCCAAAACCCCAAGCCCAAUACACUACGACCC